rnacentral:lncRNA from 1 species
GUUUCAUGUGCAGCACCUGGUGGAUAGAUCUUUCUCUUUUGUGGUUUGUUCAAAGGCUAUUGGUCUUUGGAUUUUUGUGUUCGUUUCUUCCUUUGGAAGAAUGGGGGCCCUGAUUGGUGUUGUGAGUUUGAUCUUUGGCAGAAAGAAUUGGAUGAUGAAUGGCCUAUUGUUCAGCGUCGGCAGAAAUCUUCAAAACCACAUAAAGACAUUCCUAUUACCACAGUCUUUCAACGUUUGGAAUUCCCUUCAUCAUCUUCUUCUCCAGCGAUCACCGGAAAGAAUUUUGGUCAACAGAAAGAAAAAGAGGAGUUCUUCUUCUCCGAAGCAGGACGUCCCUUCCUCUUCCACUGUUCUUCCGCAACCUAAUCUGAUUAUUUCUCCUGAGAUUGUGCCUAUGGCGAACACAAAUCUGAAUCCCCUUCGUUUUCUUCGUGCGGGCCAAGUGGUGCAUCAAGGAAGUGAUUUGCGCAUUCCGAGAGUUGAUCUCACUGCUGCUACGAGCCCCCCCGACAUCAUGAGGAGUUUGCUUUGGCUUUGGUUGAGCCUAUUCUUCCGGAAGAGCUCUGGGAUGAUCAUCAGCUUUCCUCAUGCAACUGCGGUUGGCAUGUUCAAGUUUGCGUCUGCUGUAAUCCGAGACCUGUUAGUGUUGUCUCCUCCUUUUGUGUAUGAUGGAAUCCACCAAGUCAAAUUUGUUCGUCACGACCAAGGCCCUAAUUGGCGCGCUGCUCCUUUUAAUAGAAAGGGUUGGUUUCUAUUGCUUGACUUUCCCUUGGACUACAUCAUUACUAUGCAAUAUAUUUGCCUGGUGGUUUCUACUUUUGGUCAGCUUGACGUUUGGUGGGAGCAAGAUCCUAUUCAAGGACGUGUCUUUGUUAGAUUUAUGUACAGGGAUCUUGAUUCGGUUCCUAGCAAAAUAAUUCUUCAAGAUCCAACUGCUGGUGUUGGAGAGUCUUGGACAAUUUCUGUCUUUAUCUUAUAUGGUGAGUUUGCAGAUAUGUUCCCCCUGAAGGGGUGCUUCUGGUUGGUCUUUUGCUGUUGUAGACUAGGUUAUGCCUGGUUUGUGUGUGACUCUCCUUUAUCUUAAGUUUAAAUGA